UGAGUACGAGCGGCUACGGCCGCGAAGUGGAUGAUGUCAAGCUUCCAAGAAAAGCCCUAUACCCGUUAAGGCAUGAUGGCCUGUACCCGAAACCGACACAGGUGGGGUGGUAGAGAAUACCGAGGGGCGCGAGGUAACUCUCUCUAAGGAACUCGGCAAAAUGGCCCCGUAACUUCGGGAGAAGGGGUGCCACCGCGAGGUGGUCGCAGUGAAGAGGCCCAGGCGACUGUUUACCAAAAACACAGGUCUCCGCUAAGUCGCAAGACGAUGUAUGGGGGCUGACGCCUGCCCAGUGCCGGAAGGUUAAGGAAGCUGGUCAGCGCAAGCGAAGCUGGCGACUGAAGCCCCGGUGAACGGCGGCCGUAACGAUAACGGUCCUAAGGUAGCGAAAUUCCUUGUCGGGUAAGUUCCGACCCGCACGAAAGGCGUAACGAUCUGGGCGCUGUCUCGGAGAGAGGCUCGGCGAAAUAGAAUUGUCUGUGAAGAUGCGGACUACGUGCACCCGGACAGAAAGACCCUAUGAAGCUUUACUGUAGCUUGGUAUUGUGCUCGGGCUCGGAAUGCGCAGGAUAGGUGGGAGGCUUUGAUCCAUUGCUUGCGGGUGAUGGUGAGCCACUGGUGAGAUACCACUCUUUCCGAGCUAGAGUUCUAACAGCAACCCGUUAUCCGGGUGCUGGACAGUAUCAGGUGGGCAGUUUGACUGGGGCGGUCGCCUCCUAAAAGGUAACGGAGGCGCGCAAAGGUCUGCUCAGGCUGGUUGGAAAUCAGCCGACGAGUGUAAAAGCAGAAGCAGGCUUGACUGUGAGACCUACAAGUCGAACAGGGAGGAAACUCGGCUUUAGUGAUCCGACGGUUCUGCGUGGAAGGGCCGUCGCUCAACGGAUAAAAGUUACUCUAGGAUAACAGGCUGAUCUCCCCCAAGAGUUCACAUCGACGGGGAGGUUUGGCACCUCGAUGUCGGCUCAUCGCAACCUGGGGCUGAAGUCGGUCCCAAGGGUUGGGCUGUUCGCCCAUUAAAGCGGUACGCGAGCUGGGUUCAGAACGUCGUGAGACAGUUCGGUCCAUAUCCGGUGCACGCGCAGGAAUAUUGAGAGGAUUUCUCCCUAGUACGAGAGGACCGGGAGGAACGCACCUCUGGUGUGCCAGUUAUCGUGCCAACGGUAAACGCUGGGUAGCCAUGUGCGGAGUGGAUAACCGCUGAAAGCAUCUAAGUGGGAAGCCCACCUCAAGAUGAGUAUUCCCAUGGGGUAACCCAGUAAGGUCACGGGAAGAACACCCGUUGAUAGGCUCUACGUGGAAGCGCAGUAACGUGUGAAGCGGAGGAGUACUAAUAGACCGAGGGCUUGAC
rnacentral:rRNA from 1 species